rnacentral:rRNA from 1 species
GACGAACGCUGGCGGCGUGCUUAUCACAUGCAAGUCGAACGGUGAAGCUCCAGCUUGCUGGAGUGGAUCAGUGGCGAACGGGUGAGUAACACGUGAGCAACCUGCCCCUGACUCUGGAAUAAGCGCUGGAAACGGCGUCUAAUACUGGAUACGAGAAGGGUCCGCAUGGGCACUUUCUGGAAAGUUCUUCGGUUGGGGAUGGGCUCGCGGCCUAUCAGCUUGUUGGUGAGGUAAUGGCUCACCAAGGCGACGACGGGUAGCCGGCCUGAGAGGGCGACCGGCCACACUGGGACUGAGACACGGCCCAGACUCCUACGGGAGGCAGCAGUGGGGAAUAUUGCACAAUGGGCGAAAGCCUGAUGCAGCGACGCCGCGUGAGGGAUGACGGCCUUCGGGUUGUAAACCUCUUUCAGCAGGGAAGAAGCGAAAGUGACGGUACCUGCAGAAGAAGCACCGGCUAACUACGUG